rnacentral:lncRNA from 1 species
AGCCUCUCUCAAGGCUCUGCUUUCCUGCUCUGCUGAGGCUCUGGCCUGGACAGGUGUAACUGCUCUCCAGGGAUGCAGCUGUGAAAGAGGCGAGGACUCAGCUCACUCCAGAGCCGACGGAACUCAGAGAAGCAGAGUCGCCGGACCAAGCACUGCCCAAGAAGAGGGAUGGGGACCAGGCGGUGCCGGGCUACGGUGGUCCUCCGGGUGCCAUAAAUGCUAAAAUCACCCAUCUCCUGUAAUCCUGCAUCUGUGCUCUCAAGAGUGAGAUGGUUAAGUUCACCGCUUUGUGGAGCUGGCUGCGGAUGGCUUCUGUGU